AAUGAACGUUGGCGGCGUGGAUUAGGCAUGCAAGUCGUGCGAGAAGCUUCCUUCGGGAAGUGGACAGCGGCGCAAGGGAGAGUAACGCGUGGAUAACCUACCUCGGGGUCCGGGAUAGCCGUGGGAAACUGCGGGUAAUACCGGAUGAUGUCUUCGGAUCAAAGGUGUGAUUCCGCCCCGAGACGGGUCCGCGUCCUAUUAGCUUGUUGGUGGGGUAACGGCCUACCAAGGCUACGAUGGUACCGGGUGUGAGAGCAUGGCCCGGCUCACUGGGACUGAGACACUGCCCAGACACCUACGGGUGGCUGCAGUCGAGAAUCUUCGGCAAUGGACGAAAGUCUGACCGAGCGACGCCGCGUGCGGGAUGAAGGCCCUCGGGUUGUAAACCGCUGUCAGAGGGGAUGAAAUGCCAUGGGGCUAUCCUCAUGGUUUGACAUAUCCUCAGAGGAAGUACGGGCUAAGUUCGUG
rnacentral:rRNA from 1 species